rnacentral:rRNA from 1 species
AGCGAGCGCUGGCGGCAGGCCUAACACAUGCAAGUCGAACGAAGUCUUCGGACUUAGUGGCGGACGGGUGAGUAACACGUGGGAACGUGCCUUUAGGUUCGGAAUAACUCAGGGAAACUUGUGCUAAUACCGAAUGUGCCCUUCGGGGGAAAGAUUUAUCGCCUUUAGAACGGCCCGCGUCUGAUUAGCUAGUUGGUGAGGUAAAGGCUCACCAAGGCUACGAUCAGUAGCUGGUCUGAGAGGAUGACCAGCCACAUUGGGACUGAGACACGGCCCAAACUCCGACGGGAGGCAGCAGUGGGGAAUCUUGCGCAAUGGGCGAAAGCCUGACGCAGCCAUGCCGCGUGGAUGAUGAAUGUCUUAGGAUUGUAAAAUCCUUUCACCGGUGAAGAUAAUGACUGUAGCCGGAGAAGAAGCCCCGGCUAACUUCGUGCCAGCAGCCGCCGCAGUAA